UUGUUGGAAGUAAAUUAGAGUUUAAAAAUAUAUAUAUAUAUGCCAGUGUUUAAUGAAUAAUAAAUGUAAGCAUAAAAUUAUAAUAUGUUUUUUUAAGUCCAGCUAUAAACCCCUGGUAAACCUUAUAAUUUUGCCAGAACCAGGUAUGCAAAAAGUUUCAUUUUUAGAAGGGACAGGGCUGAAGCCCUAGUCACUUACUAUAUCUGUUAACAGUUUUCAAAUUCCACUUUUUUGUACAUAUUUUUGUUACACACUCUCAUUAUUAUGAUGUUAUUUUCUUUUUAAUUACACAGUUUCACACACAACAUUUACAAAGCUAGUGGUUCUAUAAAAAAUUAAGGAAAGAAUAAAUUUUAGAGUUGUCAUCGGCUAAAAAGAUAACGUUUAAUACAAAAGUCGCAUUCAUAUCUAAAAACAGGUAACGUGACACCAGGUUUUUAAACAGGUGAGUUUUAUCGCAUUUAUUUCAAUUUUAUUUUAUUAAUGAUUGUUUUAUUUAACUAAUUUUUGUUUCGUAAAUACCUAAUAUUUACCAUUCAAAUUUAAAUAUUUUUUGUAAAUAAAACAUUAAAUCAUCGGAUUUAGUUGAUGAACCUAUUGAACCUCGGAUUUAGUUGAUGAACCUAUUGUCUACUGUUGAAACAUGAUUUGAUUCAGUAAAUUUUUAUUAUUUGAAUUUUACUGUAUUAAUCAUUAGUCAACAGUUAGCGAGAAACUGGUGCUCUACGUAAUUGAGAUUAAUUGAUGAACAUUUCAAUCGUCACCGAAAAUUGAAUUUUCCUGUUUGUUGCAGGCUUGUUUUCCUUUAAUUAGGAGUAUGGUAGACUUAAAGAAGCAGUUCAUAUCUAAACGACACAAACUGUCAAAAGCAAGAGAAA